rnacentral:rRNA from 1 species
UACGGAGGAUCCGAGCGUUAUCCGGAUUUAUUGGGUUUAAAGGGUGCGUAGGCGGCCUAUUAAGUCAGGGGUGAAAGACGGUAGCUUAACUAUCGCAGUGCCUUUGAUACUGAUAGGCUUGAAUGUACUUGAGGUAGGCGGAAUGUGACAAGUAGCGGUGAAAUGCAUAGAUAUCGGGAGGAACACCAGUGGCGAAGGCGGCGAUCUGGGAAGAUACUGACGCUGAGGUGCGAAAGCGUGGGGAGCAAACAGG